rnacentral:lncRNA from 1 species
ACAGUUAAUUAUCGUCGUGAUUAUUCAACAAUAAAGUUGGAAAUAUAUUGCAUUUGGAUUUAUACACACUUUACUUUACCAGUUUACCUAAUCCAAUUAUUUAUUAUGUCGUGAAUUCUUCUUGUUUGUCGUUCAAGGUAGAGUUUUUCACCCGUGACCAAAUAAUAUAAAAAAAAAGGAACCAACUCCUUUUUCUAUAAAUAUAUAUAUAAAAGAAAAAGUUAGUGUCGAUGUUUGUCAG